rnacentral:misc_RNA from 1 species
UCACGCUAAUCCCGGGACGAG